rnacentral:rRNA from 1 species
GAUGAACGCUGGCGGCGUGCUUAACACAUGCAAGUCGAACGGAAAGGCCCAAGCUUGCUUGGGUACUCGAGUGGCGAACGGGUGAGUAACACGUGGGUGAUCUGCCCUGCACUUCGGGAUAAGCCUGGGAAACUGGGUCUAAUACCGGAUAGGACGAUGGUUUGGAUGCCAUGGGGGAAAGUGUUUUCGGUGUGGGAGGAGCUCGCGGCGUAUCUGCGUGUGUGUGGGGUAAUGGCGUACCAAGGGGUCGACGCGUGGCCGGCCUGUGAGGGUGUACGGGGACAUUUGGACUGAGAUACGGCCCAGACUCCUCCGCGGGGGAGAAGUGGGGGAUAUUGCACAAUGUGCGCAAGACUGAGGCAGCGCAGCCGCGUGGGGGAUGACGGCGUUCGGGUUGUAAACUCCUUUCGCUAGGGACGAAGCGUUUUUGUGACGGUAACUGGAGAAGAAGCACCGGCUAACUACGUG